CACGCAGUAAACGAUGAAUGCUAAUUGUCCGGAGGGAUUGACCUCUGGGUGAUACAGCGAAAGCGUUAAGCAUUCCACCUGGGGAGUACGCCGGCAACGGUGAAACUCAAAGGAAUUGACGGGGGCCCGCACAAGCGGAGGAACAUGUGGUUUAAUUCGAUGAUACGCGAGGAACCUUACCCGGGCUCAAACGCAGGAGGAAUACAUCUGAAAGGGUGUAGCUCUACGGAGUCUUCUGCGAGGUGC
rnacentral:rRNA from 1 species